AACGUUUUUCUGUUUGAGUUUCGCAGGUCAGUGCUCCAGAGAUGUGUUAGUCACCCUCAGGUCACAAGGAAGAAGGAAAACACCAUUCAAAGCAAGUGACAGCCCAAAGUCCUACAAGAAGUCCUGCAAGCCAACAUACUGGCUCCUGUAGACCUUAUGGAACAGAGAACUACUUCAGAAGGAAUUAGGGGAAAUGAUGCUUGAAUACCGCUGCAUGCAUUAGGAAAACAAGAAUUCCUCCUCCAACAGAACACGCUUUGUUCGGCACCAGUAAUAUCGCAGGUGAGGACCAAACGGAAAACCUUUCAACAUAAACAAAGAAAACAAUAUAACACAACUGGCAAGCUUUUCAUCUCUAGUGUCACAGGGAGAUGCUGUCAGGAUGAGAAGUUAACACAUGGAAGCCAGCUGUAGCAACUAAAUGUCUCAAGGAAAAUUGUUCUUACAUAAUGAAAUCCAUUCACAAGGAAUAUCACAGAAAGUUGGAGUGACCUGAUAAAAGUCAGAAGAGAUUACCAGAUUUAUUCUUGGAAAGGCAAGAAAGUAAAGCUCAAAGCCUGACAGACUCUGAAAAUGAUGAAAAUGUGACUGUUAAUUCAAAAGUUUUAUUUCCAGAUGUUCAAAGAACUGAUUUUUAAAGAUAGCAUGUUGCAUAAUACAUUGGAAAACCACCUGUAAGUGUUCAUAAAACAAACUAAGAAAAAUCAGACAAACAGUUAUGUUUAGAAAUGUAGCAGGAUUUGCCAUGAAAAACUAAAAUUAUCUGGGCAGGGUUCUGGCUCUGUCGUGAACUCAUUAUUAAGAAAACCAUGCUGCUCUGCUGCCCCUGGAGCAGUCAGGGAAACUAAUUUGAGAAAAUGGUGACUUACAGAAAGAGGUUAUUAUACUGAGUUUAUACCAAGUGUAUAGUACCUCAGUGCAACAGUGCAGGUAAGUACAAGACAUAUUUGAUAUGUGGUAUGACAUUGCUCCUUGCCCCUUCUCUCCGGUGUGCAUUGUGAAGAAGGCCAUGGAAACAGCAAGGGGCAGUGCGGGGUCAUCUCAUAACAUGGUGUUUAUUAGAGGAGCAGCCUCUCAUACCUGCUAGGCUUGCCUGUGUGUGAGACUAUGUAUUGCAAACAUAACUAAUAUUUUCCUGCUGCUGCAGAAACUCUAGUUGUUAUAAUGUGUUAGAAGCUCUAGCUAACAUUAUUCAUUCCAUUUAUCUGAAUAGAUAUAAGCUAGAAUUAGAUUAAGUGCUUGUUGGACUUUAGAAAUGACAAAUUAAAAGCUUACACUACCCUUCCCAAAUGUUUACAGUAAACUGAUGUCCUUAAUUGGAUGUCAAAGUAGCAUAAAUGUUUAAAUCAUUUGAAGUCCUUAAUAGAGCCUAAUUAAAGGUAAAAUCGUGGUUCUAUGCAUUUCACAUGGGCUUUUGCUCAGGUCAAGUAAAAUUCAGAUCUGAACUCCAACUUGUAGGAAGCCCUUAAUAAAAUGAGUCUCAUUAAUGUCAAAUGGUUUUUAAUCAGGUCCCAAAUCAAGCAGUUUGACAUUAAUGAGACUCAUUUUAUUAAUGGCUUUUAAAAUCAGGCCCAUACACAGAUGCAGGUUGAGCUAAAAAAGUCUGUACAUGUGUGUAAUACAUUUGUCUAUGAAUCCUGUGCUGUUUGUGCAGUUGGUCUGCAUAGCGCAUGAUAAAGAGACACUGAAGACUGACCUUUAAACUUCAUUGAUUUUACUGCAAACCUCCUUAAAAUUUUUCUUCAUCUUAAAAUGGUUGCUUUAUUUUAUACUAGCUGCAAAUUCUCUUAAAAGUCAGACACGGGUCCCCAGGUUGCGAAGAUGUAAAACUGCCUAUAUUACACAUUUCUUGCUAGUCUCAUAAGGAGAAUGAGCAGUGAAAUUUGAACCUUCUUGGAUCUGUUUCUUCCAGCAAGACAACACAAAAAGGCUGUACUGUGCCGAAGAUUUUGACAAUGUUAGUGCAGCAGCUCAUUGUCAGACCUUCAUAAUUAGAAUAGUCUUUCCACAUUUGGAUGUGGAUGUAUCCCUAUCUGUGACUGAGGGGAAAAGACUGCAUAACAUGCUCAUACAUGUAAGAAAUAUAUUUUUGCACAAUUAGAACUAACAAAUACUAAACCUAAUUCUGCUCAUACAUUUCUUCAUACAUACAUAUCUUCUACGUAUGUCUGCAGGCAAAAAUCCAUAUAUCCAAAAAGACAUUUUGUUUUCAUUGUUUUCUUAUUAGAGCAAAUUGUUGUUUAAAAUGUUUUACAAACUUAAGUAAAAUAUCUACUGCUAAUUGAGCUCUCACAUGAAACCAAGAUGUCCCCAGGGAAGAGAAGAUAUCUGUGCCAUCAGAUUUCCUUCAAUAAUAUGUUUGGUUUGGUUUGAAAGUUUGUCUGGAAUUAAAAAAUGCAGUUGAAAUGCCAACAGUUCUUUUUCAUGCUACUGCACAACCUUCGUUACGAGUGGUCAAUUGUCUGACUCCAUUUUGUGUGUUUAGCUGUUGUGUGUUUAGAUGUUACACAGUAAAUUAUUUGUUUGUAAAGUUACGUGUAUGGUUUUGAAGCCUGAUAUUUCUAUUUGCUUUACAGACAACUUGAGAGAUUUCCUUGACAGCAAAUCAGUAAAGCAGGAGUAGAAAGGCAUUGCUGACAAGCCAAUAAACCAUCUUACAGAUGA